rnacentral:rRNA from 1 species
AGAGUUUGAUCAUGGCUCAGAUUGAACGCUGGCGGCAGGCCUAACACAUGCAAGUCGAGCGGAUGACGGGAGCUUGCUCCUUGAUUCAGCGGCGGACGGGUGAGUAAUGCCUAGGAAUCUGCCUGGUAGUGGGGGACAACGUUUCGAAAGGAACGCUAAUACCGCAUACGUCCUACGGGAGAAGGCAGGGGACCUUCGGGCCUUGCGCUAUCAGAUGAGCCUAGGUCGGAUUAGCUUGUUGGUGAGGUAAUGGCUCACCAAGGCGACGAUCCGUAACUGGUCUGAGAGGAUGAUCAGUCACACUGGAACUGAGACACGGUCCAGACUCCUACGGGAGGCAGC